rnacentral:snRNA from 1 species
AUCGCUUCUCGGCCUAAAGUUUAAGAUCAAAGUGUAGUAUCGGUUCUUAUUAGCUUAACAUUUGAUAGCUCUCCUAUAGGGAGACAACAAAUGUUAAAUUUGGGUCUUCCUUAGCCGAGUGGUUGAAGUCCGCCGCUACAAAGCAAGGCCUUGCUGAAGGUAU